CAAGCUACUAAGGGCGCACGGUGGAUGCCUAGGAGCAAGGAGCCGAUGAAGGGCGUGGUCAGCUGCGAUAAGCUGCGGGGAGCCGCAAACGGGCGUUGAUCCGCAGAUGCCCGAAUGGGGAAACCCGGCCACCGAAUGGGUGGUCACCCACCGCUGAAUCCAUAGGCGGUGUGGAGGGAACCUGGGGAACUGAAACAUCUCAGUACCCAGAGGAAAAGAAAUCGAAUGAGAUUCCCUCAGUAGUGGCGAGCGAACGGGGAAGAGCCUAAACCAAUCGGGCGUGCCCGAUUGGGGUCGUGGGACUGACACAAGGGAGCUGCGCGUGUAGCAGAAUCGCCUGGAACGGCGAGCCAUAGAGGGUGACAGCCCCGUAUGCGAAACACGCAACGCCCCGUCAGGAUCCCGAGUAGCACGGGAUAAGUGGAGCCCUGUGCGAAUCUGCCCGGACCACCGGGUAAGGCUAAAUACUCCUUGCUACCGAUAGUGCAACCAGUACCGUGAGGGAAAGGUGAAAAGCACCCCGGCGAGGGGAGUGAAAAGAACCUGAAACCGUGCGCUUACAAGCAGUCGGAGGACUAUACCCCUCUGGGGGACAGUCUGACGGCGUGCCUUUUGCAGAAUGAGCCGGCGAGUUGUGCUCAGCGGCGAGGUUAAGCGUCUCAGACGCGGAGCCGUAGCGAAAGCGAGUCCUCACAGGGCGACAGAGUCGCUGGGUGCAGACCCGAAACCGCGUGAUCUAACCCUGGUCAGGCUGAAGCCGUGGUAACACACGGUGGAGGGCCGAACCGGUGACCGUUGAAAAGGUCUCGGAUGAACUGGGGUUAGUGUGGUGAAAUGCCAAUCGAACGCGGAGAUAGCUGGUUCUCCCCGAAAUGCAUUGAGGUGCAGCCUCACGCGCUAUGCUAUGCAGGUAGAGCCACUGGAUGGGCUAGGGGCCCCACCAGGUUACUGAACCCAACCAAACUCCGAAUGGCAUAGCAGGAAGCGUGGGAGUGAGACAGCGACGGAUGAGCGCCGUUGUCAAAAGGGUAAUAGCCCAGACCGCCCGCUAAGGUCCCUAAACACAGGCUAAGUGUUAAAGGAUGUAGGGUCGCGUAAACAACCAGGAGGUUGGCUUAGAAGCAGCCAUCCUUUAAACAGUGCGUAACAGCUGACUGGUCGAAUGUGACCCUGCGCCGACAAUGUAAGGGGGCUCAAGCCUGUUACCGAAGCGGCGGGUUCCCGCUAGGGAGCGGUAGGGGAGCGUUCUGCACGCAGUGAAGGUGGAGCGUAAGCACCGCUGGAGCGUGCAGAAGUGAGAAUGCCGGCACGAGUAGCGAGAAGACAGGUGAGAAUCCUGUCCGCCGAAAGCCUAAGGGUUCUUCAGGCAGGUUCGUCCGCUGAAGGUCAGGCGGUCCUAAGCCGAGGGCGAAAAGCCGUAGGCGAAGGGCAGUGGGUCAACAUUCCCACCCCAGGUGGCGGAGCAAAGCGGUGACGCUUCAGAAUCGGUUGGGCGCGGAGUUGGAAGGCCGCGCUCGCCCCGGCGGCAACUCCGGGGCGACGAAGGGAUCCCUCGGGUGAACGAAGCAACCGUGACUGGGGCCGAGAAAACCCGCGUAGCGUUGAAGCCAUCUGACCGUACCGCAAACCGACACAGGUAGGCGAGGCGAGGAGCCUCAGGCGCGCGAGAGAAGUCCCGCUAAGGAACUCGGCAAAUUGACCCCGUAACUUCGGGAGAAGGGGUGCCUCGAAAGAGGUCGCAGCAAAGAGGGCCCGGCGACUGUUUACCAAAAACACAGCUCUCUGCGAAGGGGAAACCCGAUGUAUAGGGGGCGACGCUUGGCCAAUGCCCGUAGGUUAAGGGGAGGGGUCAGCCGCAAGGUGCAGCCCCAAACUGAAGCCCGGGUGAAUGCCGGCCGUAACUCUAACGGUCCUAUGGUAGAUUCGCUGCCCCCCUCAUGGGUAACCAUGAGGUGCGCAUCUGGCUAUAUGCUGGAAAAUCCGAGUAUCCAGCGGUACUCGCAAGGAAACUCCUUUCUCGAGGCGAAAGGAAUCCCUGUGAGUAACAAUCCGACUGGUGCGGACAACCAGCAGGAAAGGCUAAUUCUUAUCGGAUGGGUCGUCGGGUUUGUAGACGGCGAGGGUUGCUUCUCAAUAGGACUCAUUCAUCAACCCGACCGAGGCAACCGCAAAGGCUACAAAACCCGAAUACAGGUGUUCCAUGAGUUCGCAGUCACGCAGAGCGCACGCAGCCUCGACGCUUUGCGACGACUGCAAAGCUUCUUCGGCGUCGGCUCCAUAAUCGUCAACCGACGCAGUGAUAACCAUAUAAGGAACCCCUGUACCGCUAUGUCGUGCGCAAGCGCGACGAACUUCUGCAAGUCAUCCUCCCGUUUUUCAGGCAGUACCCACUGCACACUGCAAAACAGGACGACUUCAAGAAGUUCGCACAAUGUGUGGAGCUGAUGGCAUCCAACUGUCACCUCACUCAAGAGGGGCUGGAGGCUAUCGCGCAGCUUGCGGCGACGAUGAAUCGGCGGAAAGACCGAUCCGAAAGGGUUAGAAUCCUCAGAGACCAUACGCCAGACACCUCGACGACGAGGUGAAGAGAUGGUCCCAUCUGCAUGGCGACAUGCAGGAGCCACUCUUGGACAAGGAGGAGAAGGCUCGCUCGGCAACGUUCGAGUAAGGUCAUAAGCGAAAUUCCUUGUCGCGUAAAUUGCGACCCGCACGAAAAGCGUAACGACUGGGCCACUGUCUCAGCGGGACACUCGGUGAAACUGUAGCACCCGUGAAGAUGCGGGUUACCUGCGGUAGGACGGAAAGACCCUAUGGAGCUUUACUACAGCUUGAGAUUGCAUUUCGGUAUGUCAUGUAGAGCGUAGGUGGGAGCUUCGGCGCCAAUGGAACACCACCCUUGACCUACUGAAAUGCUAACCUGCGCCGUAAUCCGGCGUGGAGACAGUCUUAGGCGGGUAGUUUGACUGGGGCGGUCACCUCCUAAAAGGUAACGGAGGUGUCCAAAGGUCCGCUCAGCGCGGUCGGAAAUCGCGCGUCGAGUGCAAGGGCAUAAGCGGGCUUGACUGUGAGACCCACGGGUCGAGCAGAUGCGAAAGCAGGGCCUAGUGACCCUCUGGCUGUGCGUGGGCACGCCAGGGUUCAACGGAUAAAAGCUACCCUAGGGAUAACAGGCUGAUCCUGCCCGAGCGUCCACAGCGACGGCGGGGUUUGGCACCUCGAUGUCGGCUCGUCGCAUCCUGGGGCUGAAUAGGGUCCCAAGGGUUGGGGGGUUCACCCAUUAAAGCGGCACGCGAGCUGGGUUCAGAACGUUAGCCCAAAAGGGCAUGGCGUCCCGCAGGAGCAAUCCUGCGGUGCCUACCGGCUCAUAUCGGUAGACCCCUCCUGCAGUUCGACCGAACACUGCAGAGGGCAAUACCGAGGGAAGAAUGGGAGCUGAAGAUGAAGGACACCUUGAUUGGUACAAUCUUAGGCGAUGGCUACUUGGAACCUCAUGGGCGUGGCGUGCGUCUGCAAGUGAUUCACGCCGAACGCUUCAAAGCCUAUGUGGAAUGGAAACGCCAAGAACUGGCGGAUCUCCAGCCAUCACCACUGCACUACCAAACCAAUCGAGGUUACCCAUACUGGCGUUUCGUAACACAGUGCCAUACCAUCCUGACCGAACUGCGAGCGUGUUUCUACGAAGGUAAUAGGAAGGUGAUACCCAUAAAUAUCACCGAACUGUUCACUUCGCCUAAAGCGCUGGCUGUAUGGUUUAUGGAUGAUGGCACUUGUGAUAAACGACAAGGCUCUAUCAAAUUCGAGACGCAGUGCUUUUCCGAGGCUGAAUUGGAACGCCUCUGCACUGCCCUCGAAAAGAAUUUUGGUUUAAGGGCCUGCAUUCAUCGCAGUCCCAAGCGGAAUGCACAUUGGCUCUACAUGGUCGUGAGACAAGCACGCUCCUUUGUCCAAAUUGUGGAGCCAUAUAUGGCGCCAGUCAUGCGGUACAAGCUUCCAUUCCCCGUAACGACUGAAGGCGAUAUGCCUGAGAUGGGUUGUCCUGCGCCUGAAGCGCAAAUCUAUGACACCCAUCAUACGCCGGCUCCUUCCAGUCCUUCAGGAAGGAUGAAGGUAUAGUCUACACCCUUGGAAACAAGGGAUGUAUGUGCGUGAGACAGUUCGGUCCCUAUCCACCGCAGGCGUAGGAGACUUGAGGGGAGCUGGCCCUAGUACGAGAGGACCGGGCUGGACUGACCUCUGGUGUACCAGUUGUUCCGCCAGGAGCAGACGCUGGGUAGCCAUGUCGGGAAGGGAUAAGCGCUGAAAGCAUCUAAGCGCCAAGCCCACCCCAAGAUAAGGUCUCCCAUCCGGACAACGGAGUAAGGUCCCCGGUAGAUGACCGGGUUGAUAGGCGGCGCGUGUAAGCGCAGUAAUGCGUUGAGCUGAGCCGUACUAAUUGACCGAGGGCUUGCC
rnacentral:rRNA from 1 species